AUGUGAUAUAUGCAUAUGAAAUUUGAAGUUGAUCAAUUUUUUAGUAUGUUUUUAUAUAUUUUAAGUUGCUAAUUUUUUUUAUUUAGAGUAUGUUUUACGUAAAUAUAUUAUAAAUCACAAUAAUUAACAAGUUAAUAUAAAAAAAAAAACUUAUAAAAAAUUCAUUGACUUUUGAAAUUUCAUUUGUAUCACAUAA
rfam:Solanum tuberosum cultivar DM 1-3 516 R44 scf00092_27, whole genome shotgun sequence.